AGUGCUCUCUGGAGCCUAAGGUCAGUGGCAGAUCUCUGUGGUGAGUUGACAGCAGGCACAGUUUCUCAGGCUCCUGACUUGCUGGAUUUGCACUUUGCUCGAAUCCUUGCACAGUCGCCUCCUCCCUUUUGCUCGGUUCCCAGGGACCAGCGUCCUGAGCAGGUGAGAGCCUUCACUCCUUCACUUAGCCCUUUAGUCAUGACUGCAGUGCUGAGUGCCAGCCGUGGAUUUUAGUCAUGCCAACUCCUUCUUUUCCCAGCUCCUCCCCCACCCUAGGUCACACAUCUGCUAGCAAAGUAGGUGCAGCUACACUCUCAGAGUCAGAGAAAGCCUGCAGGCUCUGACUCCCCUUUUGGGCUUCUAACCUAAACUGGGUGUGUACUUUUACACACCUGGCCAUUGAGAGGUUGGGUCCAAGUCCCUUCUGCUCAAAUCCAGGUGUGCUUGUGAUGGCUUUGAUAAGUAGUAUGGCAGAAGCGACCUUUGGUGACUCCAAAGCGAGGUCAUCAAAAGCUAUGUAGCUUCCAUCUCAUUCAAUGGAGACUUUGUUCUCUGAUCAACAGAGCCCUGCUAAGCCCAGCCUUGCAGCCGUGUCAACACAGGAGCCUGACAUGUGUGUGAAGCCAUCUCAGACCCUUCGGACCAACCCAUCUGCCAACUGAAUACCUCUAAGGAACCAUAGUUGGCGCCCUGUGGAACAGAAUUGCUCAGCCAAUCCUGGCCUGAAUUCCUGACCCACACAACUAUGAGAUAUAAUGGCUGUUGUAAUCUACCAGAUUUUGGGAUGGUUUGGCCUGUAGCAAUAGAUGACUAGAACACCACGCAUAAAUAGAAGAACCUUUGCUGGUGGCCAUUCUUUCUUUUCCUUCCUUCCUUCCUUCCUUCCUUCCUUCCUUCCUUCCUUCUUUCUUUCUUUCUUUCUUUCUUUCUUUCUUUCUUUCUUUCUUUCUUUCUUUCUUUCUUUCUUUCUUUCUUUCUUUCUUUCUUCCUUUCUUCCUUCCUUCCUUUCUUUCUUUCUUUCUUUCUUCCUUUCCUCUCCAUUCCCCUUUCCUUCCUUCCUCCCUUCCUCCCUCUUUCUUUCUAAAAUUUUAUGGCUGCACUCACAGCAUAUGCAAGUUCUUGGGCUAGGGACUGAAAUCAAGCUGCAGCUGCAACCUACGCCACAGUUGUGGCAACACCACAUCCUUUAACCUACUGUGCCAGGCCAGGGAUCAAACCUGCACCCCCUAUGGCUUUUGAUAAAGUUUGGCUGGUUUUGUGUGAUCUGCUCCUGACCAUGGUAAUUCCAUGUUGCUUGAAACUUGGAUAAAUUACCUUGUAACUGAAUCAAAACUUCACCUGGGUUCACGGACAGCUCUCUAAGCUGCAGCAAAGCUUUCAAGCUCCCUAACUCUGGUUUCAUUGUCAGUGAAUGGCCCGUUCACUCAUUCCAGCACAGCCCUGCAUGCUGCCUUAAUCCAAAAGAUUUGCAGAAAUCACUGCAAAUCGGAAGUGUGGCUGCAAAAGCCAUUUUCUGCGGAUCCAGAGAAACAAUACAGAGACAACAUUUUCUCAGCAUCUUCACCCACAGGAAAGCAUCUUCCUGUUUCCUGGCUUGCACUUGCCCUCACAUGUGGAUACAGCAUUUCCACGUGACUGUUUUUCUCCUGUUACCAGCAUUCUUGUUCUUCCUUCUCAGAGACCUCUUUUUCAGCCUGGAUUUGGGGGAAGAGUUCCCAGUUCCCUGAGUCGGGUGAGCGUGAGCGUACAGGUGAACUGUGUCCCCACGGACAUAUAUGCCCUUCUCGUGGUAUGCCAGCAGGGACUUGGAGCCAGAAGCAUGUGGAUUCAGAUUCAGACCUGAGCUCUACCACACACUGACUCGAUCUGCAACCUUAGACAAGUUACUUCAUCUCAUGCAAUCUUAUUUUUCUCAUCAGUCGAAAGGAUACAGAUUUCACCAAUUUCACAGGAAAUGUGAGGCUGUCUUAGUUUGGGUUUGGCCAGAAGCAGGUCCCGACACAAGGAUGGGAGUGCACAUGGUGUAACUGGGAGGCAGGGGAAGCAGAAGCCGAGGCAGAGGGUGUGGGCAGUGGUAUGGAGAAGGUUCAUUAUCAAGCCAGUUCGCACCGUGGGCAGCUGCAGCUUCAUCCCAACGGAGACGCUUUAGGAAAAAUGUGAAACAUAUGCCCUGAAAAUUAUUCUCCCCGAGGCAUGAGGGAGCUGGGGUAUUUAAACACUGACUCCUCUCAGUCUAUUGGCUGAAGGCUAUUCCCUAGAGGGGGUUAACUUCCCACUGAGUGCUAAAGUUCUAGCUCAGCUGGGCUGCUCUGUUCUGGAAAAAGCCCUGAGGCCCAGAGACACAGAUCCUGGAAGUUAAGCAUUUUCUGGAGCAUACUGAAAGCAUGAGGUUGGAUGGUCACAGGCAGCCCUCUGAUAGCGUCAGUGUGAAAGGGUUGACUGAGAUGUGUAAAAAGCUGGGGUACAGCAGGCACUCAACACGCACCAGCUCAUUUCUCCUCCUCCCUGUCUUCAUCUCCUUGGCCCACAGUGACCUCUGCUUUCUCUUGUCCUUACUGAAUAUCUAGGUCAUUUGACAUUUGAUAUGUACUGUUUUACCCACUGAUAGCUGGUCCCUCAGAUAAACGGUAAAUGCAUCAAGGGUCAGCUCCUUCAUUUCUUAUACUUUAUGCAUCUCCCAUAGCACCCAGCUUAGCAAGAAAUGUACGGUAGAUGCUAAGUAGGAAGUACUAGUCAGACAGCAGGGCCAAACCACCUUGGUUGAUAAUGGGAAGGGCUUGUACAGGUCUGGUGGAGUGACAUUCAUGAAAGUGAAUUGACAUAUAUAAAGUAUUGUACUAAUGUGAGGGACAAUUCGUUAUUCAGGUGAUUGUUCCUUUUUAUUUGUAGCAGCCUAGAUCAGCUGGUCAAAGAGCAAUACUAGGGAGUCCCCAUUGUGGCUCAGUGGUAACAACCAGACGAGGAUCCAUGAGGAUACGGGUAAAUCCCUGGCCUCUCUCAGUGGGUUAAGGAUCUGGUGUUGCCGUGAGCUGUGGCGUAGGUCAGAGAACUGGCGUGGAUCCUGCAUUGCUAUGGCUGUGGCGUAGGCCGGUGGCUGCAGCUCUGAUUUGACCCCUGGCCUG
rnacentral:lncRNA from 1 species